CAAGUGUCAUAGCCUGGUCAUAGCCUGUUGUGUACUGGCAUUUCUCCUGAUAGCAGUGUCAUGCUGUUUUGCGUGUAGAGAAAUUAACCAUCGUAAACAAGGUUCACGUGCUCCUGUACUUUAAGCAACAAGAUGACUGAGCUGACCUCAAAAAGAAAUCAGGAGGUGACUGUGAUAUUUUCAUUUUAUACUUGUACAUACUGAAAAAGACUUGUUGGGGUUUUGUCUGUAAGGGUUUUUGUAGGGUCUUUACUGUACAAUAUAUUGCACAUUGAAGCAACUGUAAUUGUGAUUUGGUGCAAUAAAUAAAUAAAAUAGAAUGGAAAUUGAUCCAAAAAAUGUAUGUAGAUGAUUAAAAUGUUCAUUUCUAAAGCCUGUCUGAAGCCUGAUUAUGCAACACUAAAGUAAAAAAAAUAAAUAAAAAAAUC